rnacentral:lncRNA from 1 species
UCACAUAUAAGAUGAAAAUCCAUGCAUGUCCUCUGUAUCUCAUAAUUUAAAUGAUUAGUAACUCUAGCUGAUUGCUUAAAAAUAUAAAACCAAAACUAACAGCGAGAUACAUGGAGAAACCAAUCAAAUUCUAUGAUUCUUAAUCUACACUUAUAACAAGAUUUUAUGUUGUGAUGGGAUGAGACGCGUCUUAGUUGUCACAUCUUAUUUCUAUAAGAAAAUUAGAUCAAGAUAGGAUCCGAACUCCAAAAGUUAUCCAUGUGGAUAAAGAAGAGGGAAAGAAGAAAGAGGAAAGAAUGAAAGAAAGAAAGAAGGCAAAAAUUAAAAGGAAGAAAAUAAAAAAAGAAAGGGAAAGAAGAAAGAAAAGAAAAGAAAAAAGAAGGAAGAAAGGAAAGAAAGAAGAAAAAGAAAAAAGAAAAAAAGAAAGAAAAAGAAAAA